rnacentral:rRNA from 1 species
CAGUAGCGUAUAUUAAAGUUGUUGCAGUUAAAAAGCUCGUAGUUGGAUUUCUGAUCGAGUGUGCCUAGCCCGCCUGCCUCAGUGCAGUGUGUGUUGCUGGUUGUCACCUUGAUCAUUUUUGAUCAAUGUACGGUGUCCCUUCAUUGGGUACAUUGUAAUUUUUGAUCAUCAUUUACUUUGAAAAAAUUAGAGUGUUCAAAGCAGGCAUUUUUUGCUAUGAAUAUUUGCAGCAUGGUAUAAUAAGAUAGGACUUUGGUUUUCCUAUUUUGUUGGUUUCUAGGACCAAAGUAAUGAUUGAUAGGGAAGGUUGGGGGUGCUCGUAUUCCAUGGCCAGAGGUGAAAUUCUUGGAUUCAUGGAAGACGAACUUAUGCGAAAGCAUUCACCAAGGACUUCCNCUUUAA